rnacentral:rRNA from 1 species
UACGUAGGGUGCAAGCGUUAAUCGGAAUUACUGGGCAUAAAGCGUGCGCAGGCGGUUGUGUAAGACAGAUGUGAAAGCCCCGGGCUCAACCUGGGAACUGCGGUUGAAACUGGCGAACUAGAAUCUGGCAGAGGGGGGUGGAAUUCCACGUGUAGCAGUGAAAUGCGUAGAGAUGUGGAGGAACACCGAUGGCGAAGGCAGCCCCCUGGGCUGAGAUUGACGCUCAGGCACGAAAGCGUGGGGAGCAAACAGG